GACGAACGCUGGCGGCGUGCUUAACACAUGCAAGUCGAACGGUGAAGCGCCUUCCGUUUUGGCGGGUGUGGAUGAGGGGCGAACGGGGUAGGAACACGUGAGUAACCUGCCCCCUUCUUCUGGAUAACCGCAUGAAAGUGUGGCUAAUACGGGAUAUUCUGGGUCUGUCGCAUGAUGGGUCUGUGGGAGAUUUUGUGUCUGUGGGGGAUGGGCUCGCGUCCUAUCAGCUUGUUGGUGGGGUGAUGGCCUACCGAGGCGGUGACGGGUAGCCGGGCUGAGAGGGUGGGCCGUACCACUACGGCGGCACCACGCACCAGACUCCGACAGGAGGCAGCGGUGGGGAAUAUUGCACGAUGGGCGCAAGCCUCAUGCAGCGACGCCUCGUGAGGGAUGGACGUCUUCUGGUUGUGAACCUCUUUCGCGAGUGAAGCAGGCCUGCCUCGUUUGUGGGUGGGUUGACGGUAGCUGGAUAAUAAGCGCCGGCUAACUACGUG
rnacentral:rRNA from 1 species